UACGAAGGGGGCGAGCGUUGUUCGGAUUUACUGGGCGUAAAGGGCUCGUAGGCGGCCAACUAAGUCAGACGUGAAAUCCCUCGGCUUAACCGGGGAACUGCAUCUGAUACUGGAUGGCUUGAGAUUGGGAGAGGGAUGCGGAAUUCCAGGUGUAGCGGUGAAAUGCGUAGAUAUCUGGAGGAACACCGGUGGCGAAGGCGGCAUCCUGGACCAACACUGACGCUGAGGAGCGAAAGCCAGGGGAGCAAACGGG
rnacentral:rRNA from 1 species